rnacentral:rRNA from 1 species
CCUACGGGGCGCAGCAGUGGGGAAUAUUGGGCAAUGGGCGCAAGCCUGACCCAGCAACGCCGCGUGAAGGAAGAAGGCUUUCGGGUUGUAAACUUCUUUUAAGAGGGAAGAGCAGAAGACGGUACCUCUUGAAUAAGCCACGGCUAACUACGUGCCAGCAGCCGCGGUAAUCCGUAGGUGGCAAGCGUUGUCCGGAUUUACUGGGUGUAAAGGGCGUGCAGCCGGGAAGACAAGUCAGAUGUGAAAGCCCGCGGCUCAACCGGGGAACUGCAUUUGAAACUGUUUUUCUUGAGUACCGGAGAGGUCAGCGGAAUUCCUGGUGUAGCGGUGAAAUGCGUAGAUAUAAGGAAGAACACCAGUGGCGAAGGCGGAUGACUGGUCGGCAACUGACGGUGAGGCGCGAAAGCGUGGGGAGCAAACAGGAUUAGAUACCCCUGUAGUC